AUUGAACGCUGGCGGCAUGCCUUACACAUGCAAGUCGAGGGGCAGCGCGAUGUAGCAAUACAUUGGCGGCGACCGGCGCACGGGUGCGUAACACGUAUGGAACUUACCCUUUACUGGGAGAUAGCCCGGAGAAAUCCGGAUUAAUAUCCCAUAAUAAACGAGGUGGCAUCACUUUGUUUUGAAAGCUCCGGCGGUAAAGGAUGGCCAUGCGCACGAUUAGCUAGUAGGUGAGGUAACGGCUCACCUAGGCUACGAUCGUUAGGGGGCCUGAGAGGGUUAUCCCCCANACUGGUACUGAGACACGGACCAGACUCCUACGGGAGGCAGCAGUGAGGAAUAUUGCGCAAUGGAGGCAACUCUGACGCAGCCAUGCCGCGUGCAGGAAGAAGGCGCUACGCGUUGUAAACUGCUUUUAACCGGGAGAAACCCUCCGACGUGUCGGAGGUUGACGGUACCGGAGGAAUAAGCACCGGCUAACUUCGUGCCAGCAGCCGCGGUAA
rnacentral:rRNA from 1 species